rnacentral:rRNA from 1 species
CCUACGGGGGGCAGCAGUGGGGAAUAUUGGACAAUGGGGGGAACCCUGAUCCAGCCAUGCCGCGUGUGUGAAGAAGGCCCUCGGGUUGUAAAGCACUUUCAGUGAGGAAGAACGCCUGGUGGUUAAUACCCAUCAGGAAAGACAUCACUCACAGAAGAAGCACCGGCUAACUCCGUGCCAGCAGCCGCGGUAAUACGGAGGGUGCGAGCGUUAAUCGGAAUUACUGGGCGUAAAGCGCGCGUAGGUGGCUUGAUAAGCCGGUUGUGAAAGCCCCGGGCUCAACCUGGGAACGGCAUCCGGAACUGUCAAGCUAGAGUGCAAGAGAGGAAGGUAGAAUUCCCGGUGUAGCGGGGAAAUGCGUAGAGAUCGGGAGGAAUACCAGUGGCGAAGGCGGCCUUCUGGACUGACACUGACACUGAGGUGCGAAAGCGUGGGUAGCAAACAGGAUUAGAUAACCUAGUAGUC